CUCACUUUUGAGUAAACACAAACAUAUUUGACUCACUUUGUAAACGUCAAAGACUUGUGAAAAUUUCGGCUUCUAAGUUUAGGAGUAAACAUCGCUGUUAAACAAGUGCCUCAAAACGAAUCAUGCAAGUUGUGAAUAUAAUGGGCAAUUGUUACUGAAAUUGUUCGCCGGAAUAUCAAGUGAAGCGAGGUCGGAGUGAAAAUGGCCAAGUCCUGUAGGCGAAUUCCAGCGCAUAUUUUCUUUGAAGAAUAGAAAUUUUUCUUGGAAGAAAAUGUCUUCUCUUCGGAGAAAUUGUUCGCCGGAAUUCACCUACUGGUUUUGAUCGAACAACCGCAAGAAAAAAAAUAUAAACGUCUAACCGGGAAGGCUACUCGUACCGUCAAACUACAUCCUCCAUUGCUUUCAUCAAUCCCCCAGAGAUUUACAACAUCCGGGGAUACAUUCCAGAGCAGCGAAAAUUUCGACACAAACACCGCAAUAUUUACUUGCAAUAUCAUGUACUAUCCAUAUAUUUAUGUUUGAGAUAAUAAAAUAAAUGUUAUCCUUUUGUA